rnacentral:rRNA from 1 species
GCGGCGUGCUUAACACAUGCAAGUCGAGCGGAAAGGCCCUUCGGGGUACUCGAGCGGCGAACGGGUGAGUAACACGUGAGCAACCUGCCUCUGACUUUGGGAUAACCCUCGGAAACGGGGGCUAAUACCGGAUAUUACCCCGUGGGGCAUCUUGUGGGGUGGAAAGCUUUUGCGGUCAGGGAUGGGCUCGCGGCCUAUCAGCUUGUUGGUGGGGUGAUGGCCUACCAAGGCGGUGACGGGUAGCCGGCCUGAGAGGGCGACCGGCCACACUGGGACUGAGACACGGCCCAGACUCCUACGGGAGGCAGCAGUGGGGAAUAUUGCACAAUGGGCGGAAGCCUGAUGCAGCGACGCCGCGUGAGGGAUGACGGCCUUCGGGUUGUAAACCUCUUUCAGCUCCGACGAAGCGCAAGUGACGGUAGGAGCAGAAGAAGCG